UACGUAGGGACCAAGCGUUGUCCGGAAUCAUUGGGCGUAAAGCGCGCGUAGGCGGCCCGGUAAGUCCGUUGUAAAAGUCAAAGGCUCAACCUUUGAAUGCCGAUGGAUACUGCCGGGCUAGAGUCCGGAAGAGGCGAGUAGAAUUCCUGGUGUAGCGGUGGAAUGCGCAGAUAUCAGGAGGAACACCGGUGGCGAAGGCGGAUCUCUGGGCCGGUACUGACGCUGAGACGCGAAAGCGUGGGGAGCGAACAGG
rnacentral:rRNA from 1 species